CCUACGGGGGGCUGCAGUGGGGAAUAUUGGACAAUGGGCGAAAGCCUGAUCCAGCAAUACCGCGUGUGUGAAGAAGGCCUGAGGGUUGUAAAGCACUUUCAAUAGGAAGGAAUACCUAUCGGCGAAUACCCGGUAGACUGACAUUACCUAUACAAGAAGCACCGGCUAACUCCGUGCCAGCAGCCGCGGUAAUACGGAGGGUGCAAGCGUUAAUCGGAAUUACUGGGCGUAGUUCGUUAGGAGGCGGGUGAAAGCCCCGGGCUUAACCUGGGAACUGCAUUUGAUACUGGAUGACUAGAGUUGAGUAGAGGAGAGUGGAAUUUCAGGUGUAGCGGUGAAAUGCGUAGAGAUCUGAAGGAACACCAGUGGCGAAGGCGGCUCUCUGGACUCAAACUGACGCUGAGGUACGAAAGCGUGGGUAGCAAACAGGAUUAGAUACCCGAGUAGUC
rnacentral:rRNA from 1 species